GGGGAAAUAGGGGUGGGAGGGAGGGGAUGGAAGGGCAAAUUUACACUCAAUAUAGUCUUAAAUUUGACCAGCUUUAAUACAGCAUGGUGGUUUCGUAAAAGAAACUGGAUUACUGAGCCGCAAGGUAUUCUUUGGUGUGCCCUACAUGUGGAGCCCUUUGAUGGGGCCCUGCAGAGAAAGACCCAGGAGAUGACCCAGGACUAGUGCAAGAGCUGGUGCAAGAAAGAAUUACUGAAAACUCAUCAUUUUAGAGAUAAUGGCGGCUUUUAGGAAACACCAUCAAAACAGGCUCGUACGUAAUUGCUGAUUGAGAUCAGACUUUGUAGAUCCUGUAGUAUAUGUACAUGCCUUCCUAGAUACUUUAGUUAACUAAUAUAGUACGCU
ensembl:lncRNA